rnacentral:rRNA from 1 species
UACGUAGGGAGCAAGCGUUGUCCGGAAUCAUUGGGCGUAAAGCGCGCGUAGGCGGCCCGAUAAGUCCGCUGUGAAAGUCAACGGCUCAACUGUUGGAUGCCGGUGGAUACUGUCGGGCUAGAGUACGGAAGAGGCAAGUGGAAUUCCUGGUGUAGCGGUGGAAUGCGCAGAGUAUCAGGAGGAACACCUAUAGCGAAGGCAGCUUGCUGGGACGUUACUGACGCUAAGGCGCGAAAGCGUGGGGAGCGAACAGG